AAGGAUGAAGUCCAUUCUGAAACAGAAAGGAAAGACUGGCUUGCAAGUUCCCAACAACUUUUCUUGGAGAAGACAUUUAAGCAUCUUAUUCAAUGUUCCUAACAAGGUGCUUUUCUGAGUGAGGAAUCUGGAAGCCACUUAAAAUUUGAGGAAGCUGUGUGCUCAGCCUAGCUAGAAGGAAAAUAGUCCCACCACUGUGAGCACACAUUACAUCUGUGGCGCUCAAAGUCUGCCGCCAGAGGUUCUCUGAGACCCAAACUAGUUUUAAAAUAAUAUUGGAAGUAAUCGCUCUUUGUUAUGGGAAUGUCAUUUACAUUGCUAAUAAAAAAGAACAGUAAGGGCAAAGCAUGAUGCUCAGAGGGUAAACGCACUUGCUGCUGAGCCUGCCUCUCCAGGUCCAUCCCCUGGAUGCACACAGUAGAAAAGCACAGGUUUCUGCAAGUUGUCCUCUGACCUCCAGACAAUAAACAAAACAGGAACACACGCACGUACGCAUGCAUGAAUGUGACUUAAGGUUAGUGCUGGCAGGGUGAUCCAGCCUAUGAAGCACUUAGCACCAAGCUUGACAGCUGGAUUUGAUACAGGGACUACAUGAAGGAGAAAUAAUUCCCAGACAUUGUCCUCUCACAGCAGCAUGCGUGUGCCCAGACACACACACAUACAAAUUGUGAAUGCAAUUUUGAAAAAGUUUUAAAAAGAACAAUGAAGUUGGGUGGUGGUGGCAGCAGCGCACGCCUUUAAUCCCAGGAGGCAGAGGCAGGGGGAUUUCUGAGAGCUCCAGGCCAACCUGCUCUACAAAGUAAGUUCUAGGACAGCCAGGGCUGUUACACAGAGAAACCCUGUCUUGAAAAACCAACAAACAACAGAAAAAGAACAAUGAAUACAAUUGCUGUUGACUUACCACAAAGGCACAAAUCAGUUGCAAGAAACCAAAGUAGCAUCCAAGUGUCCUUUGAUGGCACGAUACAAAAACAGCUGUCUCACUUAAAUCUCAGGUUAAACACUAAAAGUUAUUAGUUCUAAGUAGACAUCCCCCAGGUAUGGUGGCACACACCUAGGAUCCCAACACUUAGGUCCAUGCAAAAGUUCAUGGUCAUACUCAGAUCCAUGGAGAGUACAAGUCAAUCUAGGUAAAUGAGACUCGGUCUCAAAAAAAAAAAAAAAAAAAAAAAAAGCCCAAGCAAACCCCCAAAUUCUCUUUUGUUUGUUGUUUUUGUAAGGCAUGGAAGAUCACCUCGAGUUGAAGGUACAUAAUGUGUUCUACACAAGUCUGGGCUACAGACUGGUCUUUGUCUCAAACUCUUAACAACAAAACCCCAAAACACUUCUCAAAAUAAAUAAAAUACAUAUAUUACAGAUU